rnacentral:rRNA from 1 species
GAUGAACGCUGGCGGCGUGCCUAAUACAUGCAAGUCGAGCGAAUGGAUUGAGAGCUUGCUCUUAUGAAGUUAGCGGCGGACGGGUGAGUAACACGUGGGUAACCUGCCCAUUAGACUGGGAUAACUCCGGGAAACCGGGGCUAAUACCGGAUAACAUUUUAAACCGCAUGGUUCGAAAUUGAAAGGCGGCUUCGGCUGUCACUUAUGGAUGGACCCGCGUCGCAUUAGCUAGUUGGUGAGGUAACGGCUCACCAAGGCAACGAUGCGUAGCCGACCUGAGAGGGUGAUCGGCCACACUGGGACUGAGACACGGCCCAGACUCCUACGGGAGGCAGCAGUAGGGAAUCUUCCGCAAUGGACGAAAGUCUGACGGAGCAACGCCGCGUGAGUGAUGAAGGCUUUCGGGUCGUAAAACUCUGUUGUUAGGGAAGAACAAGUGCUAGUUGAAUAAGCUGGCACCUUGACGGUACCUAACCAGAAAGCCACGGCUAACUACGUGCCAGCCGCCGCAGUAA